GGGUUGUGAGGUUAAGCGACUAAGCGUACACGGUGGAUGCCCUGGCAGUCAGAGGCGAUGAAGGACGUGCUAAUCUGCGAUAAGCGCCGGUAAGGUGAUAUGAACCGUUAUAACCGGCGAUUUCCGAAUGGGGAAACCCAGUGUGACUCGUCACACUAUCAUUAACUGAAUCCAUAGGUUAAUGAGGCGAACCGGGGGAACUGAAACAUCUAAGUACCCCGAGGAAAAGAAAUCAACCGAGAUUCCCCCAGUAGCGGCGAGCGAACGGGGAGGAGCCCAGAGCCUGAAUCAGCAUGUGUGUUAGUGGAAGCGUCUGGAAAGGCGCGCGAUACAGGGUGACAGCCCCGUACACAAAAGCGCAUGUGCUGUGAGCUCGAUGAGUAGGGCGGGACACGUGGUAUCCUGUCUGAAUAUGGGGGGACCAUCCUCCAAGGCUAAAUACUCCUGACUGACCGAUAGUGAACCAGUACCGUGAGGGAAAGGCGAAAAGAACCCCGGCGAGGGGAGUGAAAAAGAACCUGAAACCGUGUACGUACAAGCAGUGGGAGCACCCUUUGGGGUGUGACUGCGUACCUUUUGUAUAAUGGGUCAGCGACUUAUAUUCUGUAGCAAGGUUAACCGUAUAGGGGAGCCGCAGGGAAACCGAGUCUUAACCGGGCGUUAAGUUGCAGGGUAUAGACCCGAAACCCGGUGAUCUAGCCAUGGGCAGGUUGAAGGUUGGGUAACACUAACUGGAGGACCGAACCGACUAAUGUUGAAAAAUUAGCGGAUGAUCUGUGGCUGGGGGUGAAAGGCCAAUCAAACCGGGAGAUAGCUGGUUCUCCCCGAAAGCUAUUUAGGUAGCGCCUCGUGAACUCAUCUCCGGGGGUAGAGCACUGUUUCGGCUAGGGGGCCAUCCCGGCUUACCAACCCGAUGCAAACUGCGAAUACCGGAGAAUGUUAUCACGGGAGACACACGGCGGGUGCUAACGUCCGUCGUGAAGAGGGAAACAACCCAGACCGCCAGCUAAGGUCCCAAAGUCAUGGUUAAGUGGGAAACGAUGUGGGAAGGCCCAGACAGCCAGGAUGUUGGCUUAGAAGCAGCCAUCAUUUAAAGAAAGCGUAAUAGCUCACUGGUCGAGUCGGCCUGCGCGGAAGAUGUAACGGGGCUAAACCAUGCACCGAAGCUGCGGCAGCGACACUGUGUGUUGUUGGGUAGGGGAGCGUUCUGUAAGCCUGUGAAGGUGGCCUGUGAGGGUUGCUGGAGGUAUCAGAAGUGCGAAUGCUGACAUAAGUAACGAUAAAGCGGGUGAAAAGCCCGCUCGCCGGAAGACCAAGGGUUCCUGUCCAACGUUAAUCGGGGCAGGGUGAGUCGACCCCUAAGGCGAGGCCGAAAGGCGUAGUCGAUGGGAAACGGGUUAAUAUUCCCGUACUUGGUGUUACUGCGAAGGGGGGACGGAGAAGGCUAUGUUGGCCGGGCGACGGUUGUCCCGGUUUAAGCGUGUAGGCUGGUUUUCCAGGCAAAUCCGGAAAAUCAAGGCUGAGGCGUGACGACGAGGCACUACGGUGCUGAAGCAACAAAUGCCCUGCUUCCAGGAAAAGCCUCUAAGCAUCAGGUAACAC
rnacentral:rRNA from 2 species